rnacentral:rRNA from 1 species
GAUGAACGCUAGCGGCAGGCUUAAUACAUGCAAGUCGAGGGGCAUCAAGGUACACGAAAGUGUAUUGUUGGCGACCGGCGGACGGGUGAGUAAUAGGUAGGUAACCUACCUCAUACUGAGGCAUAGCUGGGAGAAAUUCCAGGUAAUUCCUCAUGAGGUUAUAUGACACAUGUGAUAUAAUCAAAGGUAUCGCAAGGUACUGGUAUGAGAUGGGCUUACUGACCAUUAGCUAGUUGGUGAGAUAAGAGCUCACCAAGGCGAAGAUGGUUAGGGGUUUUGAGAGAGAGACUCCCCCACAUUGGAACUGAGAUACGGUCCAGACUCCUACGGGAGGCAGCAGUAGGGAAUAUUGGGCAAUGGGCGGAAGCCUGACCCAGCCAUGCCGCGUGAAGGAAGACGGCCUUAUGGGUUGUAAACUUCUUUACUAUGCGACUAACUAGAUUUACGAGAUAAUUCUAUAGAAUGUAGCAUAGCAAAAGCACCGG